rnacentral:rRNA from 1 species
UACAGAGGUCUCAAGCGUUGUUCGGAUUCAUUGGGCGUAAAGGGUGCGUAGGCGGCGCGGUAAGUCGGGUGUGAAAUCUUGGAGCUUAACUCCGAAACUGCAUUCGAUACUGCCGUGCUUGAGGACUGGAGAGGAGACUGGAAUUUACGGUGUAGCGGUGAAAUGCGUAGAUAUCGUAAGGAAGACCAGUGGCGAAGGCGGGUCUCUGGACAGUUCCUGACGCUGAGGCACGAAAGCGUGGGGAGCAAAAGGG